CUUUGCUAGAAUCAUAUCAUGAUGUAUGCUUACUUGAGCAAGACGACUUCUUCAAUCAUGGUGUACGUUGUUACUUGUCUGCCCGCAGAUACUGAUUCAUCUAGUUGUGAGGAAGUGAAAUGUAGUGAAGCUUUUGGUGGAUAAUAACAAAGUUGGAGUGCGCUAGGUUUCUUGGACCAUUUUAUUUCUAAGGCCAGAGGCUCCCAGAGCUCGAUCUGAAGCUCUAAAGUCAUCUCAUAUUUGGAAGGUUUUGACUCCAUUGUACUCACUGCUUACAAAGCAUCUGCCGAUACUUCCUUUCUGGCUCUUGAGGCAAGUUCAAGAUUUUGUCCAUCCAGGGUGAAUUGAGUGCAAACCAGGAGACUGUCAUGGUACCUUGUGGCCAGCAAAUCAUAUCAAUUUCUGACCAACCAGGAAACUGAAGUAUUUGUACCUAGUGUGUUUGGUGAAUGCUAAUCACUUCUUUGUUGAACUGCCAGACAAGGAGCUUUGCUUUGCUCGCAUGUUCUCAUGGACUCUUGUACCUCUAUGUUUUUAACUUCUGAAAGUGUUCAUUUUCAAGACUAUGCAGGAGCUUCACGUGUAUAUAAUUUGAAAGAAAAUGAGUUUUACAUGCCGCGACCCAAAAUAACAACUGAGUAAAAUACAAAGGCAGAAGCUUGUGACAAGCCGGGCAAACCAAAGAAAGACCCAGCAGAUACUGAUGCAUAUAAUCCAGACGCCUCCCAUUUUCCAUGACCAUUUAUGUGGAUUUCCUGGUGAGAGAACCAUUUCUGUAAUGGCUUCUCAAAUGUCCAGAACUUGAAUGAAUUCGAUGACCAUUUGUGUGGAUUUCCUGGUGAGAGAACCAUUUCUGUAAUGGCUUCUCAAAUGUCCAGAACUUGAAUGAAGGGUGGCAUCGUAAGGGAAGUUUUAUAUCUCUGAUUUAUCUGCUUUCGUUGGGAUCCUCGGCAACAGGUUUUCUCGUGCGACUGUCAACCAGAAUUGAGUUGAAAAUGUCUGGAGUGAUCGCCUGGACAGAAGUUCCAUGAAGCUAAUUGCCAGUCCAGAAAUGAAUUUGAAAGCUGCCGCCAAGGCGAACAGGAGUAGCGGCGGGGUUUCUUCACAGGGUUCAGUCACUCUAGAAGUUACACCAUGAAUUGCACUCAUUCCAUUCAUAAAUACAUUGCGGAUGAUUUAGUCAAAAGUCAAGGCUUUCUAAGUUUGACCAUAACCUGUAGCUUAGCUGUAUAGCUUGUAGCUUCUUUUUUCUCUUUCAGUUUUUUUUUCUGCUGAGCUCGUUGUGAACUCCAUGCCAUCUUGGCGCCCUCUCUAAUACAAAUGACACACAUUUUGGUGCGUGUUCGGGGGAAAAAAGGUUUGACCAAGUA